AAUAAAGUAGCCUAGUGGACAUGGCAUCUGCCCGGUAAGCGGAACACUGUGGGUUCGAUUCCCAUCCCUGGACACUUUUAUUU
rnacentral:tRNA from 1 species